rnacentral:miRNA from 1 species
CUUCACCUGGUCCACUAGCU